rnacentral:rRNA from 1 species
AACGAACGCUGGCGGCAUGCCUAACACAUGCAAGUCGAACGAUCCCUUCGGGGAUAGUGGCGCACGGGUGCGUAACGCGUCGGAACCUGCCCUUAGGUUCGGAAUAACUCAGAGAAAUUUGAGCUAAUACCGGAUAAUGUCUUCGGACCAAAGAUUUAUCGCCUUUGGAUGGGCCCGCGUUGGAUUAGCUAGUUGGUGGGGUAAAGGCCUACCAAGGCGACGAUCCAUAGCUGGUCUGAGAGGAUGAUCAGCCACACUGGGACUGAGACACGGCCCAGACUCCUACGGGAGGCAGCAGUGGGGGAUAUUGGACAAUGGGCGAAAGCCUGAUCCAGCAAUGCCGCGUGAGUGAUGAAGGCCUUAGGGUUGUAAAGCUCUUUUACCCGGGAUGAUAAUGACAGUACCGGGAGAAUAAGCCCCGGCUAACUCCGUG